UGCGCGGGGAGGGCGCCACCGAGCGGCCCGGCCCCGCUAGUCCCGGCCGCCUCCCACCCUCCGCCCGGGGGCCCGGCCCGCGCCAGGCCCGUCUCUCCGCGCCGCAUCUCCCGGACGGGUAAACUGAGGCCCGGCGAAGGCUGCAUGCUCGGGUUCGAGUCCUUCCGCCGCCGGUCACCCGCUCCGAGGCGGCGCAGGCGCCUGUGGGCGGCACGGUGGGCCCAAGAGCCGCCAGGUCUCGUCCCCGAAGGCCUGCUGACGCAGGGCGCCGCCUCUGGCGCAGAGGAGGCGCCCCGGGGCUCGCGUCCCCGCCCUGCUGCUGACCAGCUGUGUGAUGGAUGACCUUGAGCGAGUGACCUCACUCCUCCCCCCCAGGGUUCUCAUCUCUCAUCCAAGGGGCUGGCGUGAGGUUCAUGCUUGUAAAGCCCACGGGACAGUGCAGGGACCUGAGUAGACAGAGAAACAGAGUUCUCGCUGAAACAUGGAGUCCUGGCCACACGACAGGAUAAAUUUCCUUGGGAGAACUGAACAUACUACAGGAAGUGCUCAAGAAGCCUAUUUCUCUGGUGGAAGGGGAGACAACAAGAUAAACCUCUAAAAUCCCUUUCUACUUUAAGAUUCUAUCACCUUCAGGACCUAAGUACUAAGGAUAUGGUCAAGAGCCUGAGAUUCCACUGGAACUUCCCAGCAAACUUACGUGGAAGUCUCUGGGAGGUGACAUGGCUGGAAUUCUGCCCGAUUCCAGUGUCAGUGCACCCAUGCGCUGUCUACAUCGCCUCAGAGACAGGGAAGCCGGAAGAAGACCUGGGACUGUCUUCACGCGCCCUCAGCUAGCACAUGGUGAGCAUUCAAGUACAGAGGCUGAACUGCAUAUUUUUGUGGGCCUAAACUCUGCCCUCUGUGUCUGAGGCAUCAUGUGAUAUGGCAGUGGGGAUGUGGAGCUGUGGUACUCAAACUCAGGAGCCAGUAAGUCACCUGAGGAGACCUGUUGAAAUGCAGAUUCUGGAGCCCUAUCUCUAGAGCGCCUGAUUCAGUGGUGCCCAGGAAGCAUUUUCAUCAAGACCCUCAGAUCGUUCUGACACAAAUAAAUCACAAAGCAUAUGGAUGUUAGUGAUAAAAUCACAGCCAUGCCAGGCUGAGGUUCAGUUCGCCUGCAGUCUGAUGGGAGCUGUUCCCAAACAGAUCCCCACUCAUGUUUACGAUUCCUUUUCCUUAUAGAAAGGAGGAAGCCGGUGGUGUGCUAGUAAAUGUCUUAACUGGCUCUCUUCAGAAGGAAUAAAAACAAACAAACAAAAACCCUGAUUUAUAGCAUUUUCCAAUAUCCACGGUGUAAAUACUCAUACCAUCGAUGAUAUCAAGCUACCAAAGGGAUAUCACUGAAAACUGAGUUGGGAGGGGACAUGUGGCAUUGUCCCUAUGGCAACCGCCAGAGGAAGCCCAGGUAGGGGAGGGGACUUACUUCCCUAGGCCUCAGUUUCCCCACUAAUAAAAUGAGAAUGCACUAAGGGC